UACGUAGGUCCCGAGCGUUGUCCGGAUUUAUUGGGCGUAAAGCGAGCGCAGGUGGUUUAUUAAGUCUGGUGUAAAAGGCAGUGGCUCAACCAUUGUAUGCAUUGGAAACUGGUAGACUUGAGUGCAGGAGAGGAGAGUGGAAUUCCAUGUGUAGCGGUGGAAUGCGUAAAUAUAUGGAGGAACACCGGUGGCGAAAGCGGCUCUCUGGCCUGUAACUGACACUGAGGCUCGAAAGCGUGGGGAGCAAACAGG
rnacentral:rRNA from 1 species